rnacentral:rRNA from 1 species
CGCCUGUUGAUCAAAAACAUCGCCUCUUGGUAAGAUAUAGAUAAGAGGUACCGCCUGCCCCUGUGACAAACGUUUAACGGCCGCGGUAUUUUGACCGUGCAAAGGUAGCGCAAUCACUUGCCUUUUAAAUGAAGGCCUGUAUGAAUGGCAUAACGAGGGCUUAACUGUCUCUUUCUCCCUAUCAAUGAAAUUGAUCUCCCCGUGCAGAAGCGGGGAUACUGACAUAAGACGAGAAGACCCUGUGGAGCUUUAGACCAAAAGUAGACCAUGUUAAAGAUAUAAGAAAAAUUCAUCAAACGAAUUGGGCUCUACUCUAGUGUCUUUGGUUGGGGCGACCGCGGGGUAAUGAUUAACCCCCAUGAGGAUUGAGAAUAUGAUUUUUAAAAUCUAAGAAUUUCCAUUCCAAGAAACAGAAUAUCUGACCUUUGUGAUCCGGACCUUCCGAUCAACGAACCUAGUUACCCCAGGGAUAACAGCGCAAUCCUCUUUUAGAGCCCAUAUCGACAAGGGGGUUUACGACCUCGAUGUUGGAUCAGGACAUCCUAAUGGUGCAGCCGCUAUUAAGGGUUGUUGUUCAACAAUUAAAGUCCUACAUGAUCUGAGUUCAGACCGG